CAAAAAAUAGUUUAAUAGAAUCCCAGCUUUGGGGGUUGGGGGUGGAAGUUAAAAUCUUCUUUUUUUGA
ensembl:Mt_tRNA